rnacentral:rRNA from 2 species
UACGGAGGAUGCGAGCGUUAUCCGGAUUUAUUGGGUUUAAAGGGUGCGCAGGCGGGAACUUAAGUCAGCGGUGAAAUCUCGACGCUUAACGUCGAAACUGCCGUUGAAACUGGGUUUCUUGAGUAUAGAUGAAGUAGGCGGAAUUCGUUGUGUAGCGGUGACAUGCUUAGAUAUAACGAGGAACUCCGAUUGCGUAGGCAGCUUACUAAGCUAUAACUGACGCUCAAGCACGAAAGCGUGGGGAUCAAACAGG